UGAAUUUGACCAUGCUUUAUGGAGAAGACCAAAAGCUGCAAAGGCAAACACUUCCAAUAGAUUUCUCACAGAUUACUUAGUCCUUCUCCAUCAGCUCUCCACAAUAUCAGCCCGUCCAAAAGCUUCCACAUCUCUCUCUCUCGUGUGGCACAUCUGCUCUCAGUCCUUUACUGCCAACUUCCAGUCUUAGCAUGUCUACUUGUAUUAAUUUCUCCUCUACAGUCAUCACUCCCAUCUCUACUAUAAGCACUCCUGUCACUAUCACUAUAUAUAUAUAUAUUUGCUCAAAAUGGUUGACUUUUAUCAUUAUAAAAUUAUAAUUGUUAUUAACCAUUAAUUUGUCUUGCAUUUAGUCACAAUAGAAGCAAACAAUGAUUACAGGAGAUAUAUUUUUAAAGUGGCACAAACUGGAGAGAGAAUGCUGUUCUGGGCACUAUGUUUAUCUGGG